ensembl:lncRNA
GUCAUUUAGCUGGAGGGGGUCUCUCUCGCUCUCUCUGUGUGUUUGUAGUCUCUCGAUGGAGAGGGGUCAUUUAGCUGGAGGGGGUCUCUCUCUCUCUCUGUGUGUUUGUAGUCUCUCGAUGGAGAGGGGUCAUUUAGCUGGAGGGGGUCUCUCUCUCUCUCUGUGUGUUUGUAGUCUCUCGAUGGAGAGGGGUCAUUUAGCUGGAGGGGGUCUCUCUCUCUCUCUGUGUGUUUGUAGUCUCUCGAUGGAGAGGGGUCAUUUAGCUGGAGGGGGUCUCUCUCUCUCUCUGUGUGUUUGUAGUCUCUCGAUG